AUUAAAAAUUGUGCAGAACAGUAAAGUGAUGUUUGUGUUUUGUGUUUUACCAGGAAGAUGAAGUUGAAGUUGAAGUUGAAGUUGCAGUAGGGUCGAGUGUGAGUGCGUGAAAGAGUUGGCGUGUUUCUUCCUCCGAAACCUUUCAUGGAGUUCAUGGCACUAUCUAAUGCUACCCAAGUUCGAAGCUUCAACCCUCUUACAACAAACCUUCAAAGAUCAAAACACGCUCUUCCUUUUCGGUAUGCUUCUUUACCUUCUUCUUCUCACAGAGGUUGCACUUGUAAGGCCAUCAUCAGCACCCAUUCACCAACGGUUACCAAAAAGAUGUUUGGACCUCAUUCCCGUGAUUUUGAGCUUUCUGCUUUGACGGCUUUGUCUCCAUUGGAUGGUCGUUAUUGGGGUAAAAUUAAGGAAUUGGCUCCUUUUUUGAGUGAAUAUGGUUUGAUAUACUUUCGGGUUUUUGUUGAGCUGUCUCAGAUUCCUGAAAUUGUUGAGAUUCCUAGUUUCAGUGAAGAUGCUGUCUCUUUUUUACGAGGCCUGAUUGAUGAGUUUAGUGUUAAUGAUGCCUUGGAGAUUAAAAGCAUUGAGAGGGUUACAAAUCAUGAUGUGAAAGCAGUGGAGUACUUUUUGAAACAGAAAUGCCAAUCCAAUGCAGAAGUGGCUAAGGUGCUUGAGUUUUUCCACUUUGGUUGCACAUCUGAGGAUAUAAAUAAUCUUGCCCAUGCCUUGAUGCUGAAAGAAGCUGUGGAUUCUGUCAUGUUUCCUGUCAUGGAUGAAAUAAUUAAAGCUUUGUGUGACAUGGCGAAAGAUAAUGCUCAUAUUCCAAUGCUCUCUCGCACUCAUGGACAGCCUGCUUCACCAACUACUUUGGGAAAGGAAAUGGCGAUAUUUGCUGUGAGAUUAAGCAGAGAAAGAAAGGAAUUGUCUCAGGUUGAGAUAUUGGGGAAAUUUGCUGGUGCAGUCGGAAAUUACAAUGCACAUGUUGUUGCAUAUCCCAAUGUUGACUGGCCUCAGGUUGCAGAACAGUUUGUACAAUCUCUUGGAUUAAGUUUCAAUCCUUAUGUUGCUCAGAUUGAAAGUCAUGACUACAUGGCAAAGCUUUUUCACACACUCAUCCAGUUCAACAAUAUUUUAAUAGACUUUGAUAGAGAUGUAUGGGGCUAUAUAUCUUUGGGUUACUUUAAGCAGACCACUAAGGCUGGGGAGAUUGGGUCAUCAACUAUGCCUCACAAAGUGAAUCCUAUUGAUUUUGAGAACAGUGAGGGUAAUCUAGGAGUAGCUAAUGGAGGUCUGUCUCAUCUCAGCAUGAAGUUGCCGAUUUCACGUUGGCAGAGGGACUUGACUGAUUCAACUGUCUUAAGGAACAUGGGUGUAGGUAUAGGUCAUUCCCUUCUUGCCUAUAAAAGCACACUUCAAGGAAUAGGGAAGCUUCAGGAUGCAUAUACAAAGUUUCAGUCACUGACUAAUUGCAUAACUACAGAGCAAGAUUCGCGCGUUUUCUAUUAAAUCUAGAGAAAAGACGGUAGGUUUUUGUGGUGUCAUUUAGUUUUGUUGUAAUAUUAUCAUCUACUAUUUAGGUUAAUGAAGCUCGCUUAAGUGAAGACUUGAACCAGUGCUGGGAGGUGCUCGCUGAACCAAUACAGACUGUGAUGCGAAGAUAUGGUGUUCCUGAGCCAUAUGAAAAGUUAAAAGAACUAACCAGAGGGAGAGCAGUUACCGAAGAUAGCAUAAGAGAUUUCAUUGAAAGCUUAGAUAUUCCAAAUGAAGCAAAGAUAAAUCUGUUAAAGUUAACACCUCAUACUUACGUUGGAGCAGCUGUUGAAUUGGCCAGAACAGUGGAAAAUGCAGUGAAUAUUGUGAAUGGAAAUGAAGAUCUAGGAAGGAAAGUGAUUGAAACAUUUUUCUGAAGAUAUUAAGUAGUAGUUAAUGAGACUACUGCAUAGCCAAUUUUGCAUCCUCACCAUCAUUUGACCAAGUGAUCAUUAGUUGAUAUAUCAACUUUUUAAAAUAAGGUGUUUCAUUUAGGAAAAGAGAAAAAGGACAUGAUUUCCCCUGAUUAUGAAAAACAUUGCGAUAUAGAAUUAUUUUAUGGAUUUUGUAACUGAUGAGAAAAUUGUAGAGUUCCAAGUAUCAGACUUACAUAAUAAAAUGGGCUGACGUGGGUAUUC